GUCCGCCUGCCCUGUGAUAUUUAUUUAACGGCCGCGGUAUUCUGACCGUGCAAAGGUAGCGCAAUCACUUGUCUUUUAAAUGAGGACCCGUAUGAAUGGCAUAACGAGGGCUAAUCUGUCUCCUUUCUCCAGUCAAUGAAAUUGAUCUCCCCGUGCAGAAGCGGGGAUAUAAUUAUAAGACGAGAAGACCCCAUGGAGCUUUAGGCAUAAAUAGAUCAUGUUAAAAACCCCCCCCCGGAAUUAACCUAGUGAAUACUAUCAAACUGCCUUUGGUUGGGGCGACCACGGAAAAAAGAAAAUCCCCCGCGUAAAAGGAGGCCAUUUUUCCCUUCCUCCCAAAAGAGAGUGACAACUCCAACAAGCAGAAACUCUGACUAAUUAUGACCCGGCGAAGCCAAUUAACGAACCGAGUUACCCUGGGGAUAACAGCGCAAUCCCCUUCUAGAGCCCCUAUCGACAAGAGGGUUUACGACCUCGAUGUUGGAUCAGGACAUCCUAAUGGCGCAGCCGUUAUUAAGGGUUCGUUUGUUCAACGAUUAAAGUCCUACGUGAUCUG
rnacentral:rRNA from 1 species